UACGGGGGGGGUAAGCGUUGUUCGGAAUUACUGGGCGUAAAGGGCUCGUAGGCGGCCAACUAAGUCAGACGUGAAAUCCCUCAGCUUAACUGGGGAACUGCGUCUGAUACUGGAUGGCUUGGAUUCGGGAGAGGAAUGCGGAAUUCCAGGUGUAGCGGUGAAAUGCGUAGAGAUCUGGAGGAACACCGAUGGCGAAGGCAGCCUUCUGGGCCAACACUGACGCUCAUGCACGAAAGCGUGGGGAGCAAACAGG
rnacentral:rRNA from 1 species